rnacentral:rRNA from 1 species
GACGAACGCUGGCGGCGUGCUUAACACAUGCAAGUCGUGCGGUAAGGCCCUUUCGGGGGUACACGCGCGGCGAACGGGUGAGUAACACGUGAGCAACCUUCCCUUCCCUUUGGGAUAACUGCCGGAAACGGUGGCUAAUACCGGAUAUUACUUCCUCACGCAUGUUGGGUGGUGGAAAGCCUUCGGGUGGUGGGGGAUGGGCUCGCGGUCUAUCAGCUUGUUGGUGGGGGGGUGGCCUACCAAGGCUUCGGCGGGUAGCCGGCCUGAGAGGGUGACCGGCACACGUGGGACUGAGACACGGCCCAGACUCCUACGGGAGGCAGCAGUGGGGAAUAUUGGACAAUGGGCGAAAGCCUGAUGCAGCAACGCCGCGUGAGGGAUGACGGCCUUCGGGUUGUAAACCUCUUUCGCCUGCGACGAAGCGCGAGUGACGGUAGCAGGUAAAGAAGCACCGGCCAACUACGUG